rnacentral:rRNA from 1 species
AUACGGAGGGUGCAAGCGUUAAUCGGAAUUACUGGGCGUAAAGCGCACGCAGGCGGUCUGUCAAGUCGGAUGUGAAAUCCCCGGGCUCAACCUGGGAACUGCAUUCGAAACUGGCAGGCUGGAGUCUCGUAGAGGGAGGUAGAAUUCCAGGUGUAGCGGUGAAAUGCGUAGAGAUCUGGAGGAAUACCGGUGGCGAAGGCGGCCUCCUGGACGAAGACUGACGCUCAGGUGCGAAAGCGUGGGGAGCAAACAGGAUUAGAUACCCUGGUAGUCCACGCCGUAAACGAUGUCGAUUUGGAGGUUGUGCCCUUGAGGCGUGGCUUCCGGAGCUAACGCGUUAAAUCGACCGCCUGGGGAGUACGGCCGCAAGGUUAAA